AACGCACGAGACCUGCGGACCUGCGGAAGGAUCAUUAACACAAAAAUGAUAACCUUUUUUUUGGUUGAGAGAGUUUCUUAACCGGAGCUCUCUCAAUCAAAAAAAUUACCACAAUGGAAAAUGUUAAAGUCCAUUAACAUUAUUAAUAAUGUUGAUGGUCUUUAUACCAUUUCUUAAAAAAACUCCAUUUAAAAACCAUUAGAUUCUGUUAUGAUUAUAUCUAAAACAUAUAAUCUUAAA
rnacentral:misc_RNA from 1 species